GCCUCUGCUCUCUCUCGGGAGUAUCCUGGUGCCUGAGGGAAUGUGACAUUAAAUGGCAGACAAAAAACACCAGGACAGGUUGAGAGACCGCAGAAGAAAGGAGAGUGAUUGUUUCUUUUUCAACAGAGGGCCCUGCAUUUUUGUUUCACCCUGGGCCCCAUAAAUUACAUAGCCAGCCCUGCCUACUAGACUGACUUCACACCUACUUGGUGAAUUGUGACUGGCAGUUCCAAAAACACUGCCCUAGACAGCAGAAUGUUACAGCUGACCAAACCACAAGCUUUCCUCAGACAGACUGACAUUUAGAUCCCAGUGCUACAAGGAGCUGGCUGUGUGACUUUGGGCCAGUCACUCAGCUCUCAACUUCUGUGUCUUCAUCUGUAACACCAGGAUAACGAUAGGAUUUACCCUUAGAGUUGGGUGAGGACUAAGUAAGGAAACAUAAAAGAGCAGUGCCCUGAAUUUAGUAAGCAAGCAGUUAUCAUUAUUACUGGGUCCCUCAGGUCUUUGGCCUGGCUCUGAUUUUUCCCACUUUGAGUUGCUUCUCUGAGGAGGCGAUUUCUUUUUUUCUUUUUCUUUUCUUUCUUUUCUUUUCUUUUCUCUUCCUUCUUUCCUUCCUUCCUUACUUCUCUUCCUUCCUUCCUUCCUUCCCUCCUUCCUUCCUUCCUCUCUCUCCCUCUCUCUCUCUUUCUUUCUUUUGGAGGGGAUUUCUGAGCUGGGUUUUGAGGAGCAAGCAGGAGUUUUACCAGGUGAAUAAGAGAGGGAAGAGAAUGUUGGGCAGACAGGCUGCAGCGCAGAGCCUCAGAGGCAUGCUGUCUUUAAGGGAAGUGGGAGCAGACCAGUUUGACAGUGUGUACUUCUGGGAGUGGGGAGGUGAGCCACUGGGAGGCAGGGGUGGGGUUGCUGAGGCUGGAGGUGGGAGGGGCCUAUCCUGGGGAGGAGGGCCCUGGGCGGCCUGGACUCACCUGGCAGCUGAUGAAGGCAGGGAGUGUUUUAGGCAGGCGAGAAGCAUGAUCAGACCUGUGCUUUCCGAGGUCACCCAGGCCGUGGGGUAGAAGAUGGAUGGAAGAGAGUAAAACCAGAGGCUUCUGGAAGAGGCCAGAAACAAUUAGACUUGAUUUUUAGACCAAGAAAUGUAAUCAUCAGUGACAUCUCAGAAUCUCAGGGUUUUGCUGCGCGUUUGAAGGAAAGAACAAAGCUUUGGUGGUGGAAAAUACGGAGACACGGUGGUUACUGUUGGAACAAGAUUACUGAAUUCUCCUAACAACCCUCUGAGGGACUGCCUCUGGAGAAGGGGGCCGGGCUCCUGCAGCUGGCUUGGAACCCGCCAUGCAACUGUGGGCGAGAGAAACAACCCAGGACCACCCAGGACGGGAGGCCGGCUUCAGAUGCAGCUCUCAGGCUGGCCGGGG